rnacentral:lncRNA from 12 species
GCUCUUUCUCAUUUUGGACCUGCUUUUGGAGAGGGUUCACCUCUCUGUGCUCUCCUGCAGUCUGGCCUUCGAAAUCAGGCUACAGCACAGCCAUUUUAGGGCUGCAGCUCGUGCUGUCUCACUGCCUUCCUCCAGCUGAGGUGGGCAAAGAAAGGAAGUAUUGUUAUCACUGCUUCUGCAUUUCCCAUGGCCCCAAAACCCAACUAAUGACCAGUCUUGACAAGUUCAUUUCUGUGGAAGACAUUCUCUUACUUCCAAUUCACUACCACCCACAGAUGACACUUUACAAAAUGUCACUGUUACAUAAUUGAUAAUCAC